rnacentral:misc_RNA from 1 species
UACGGAGGAUCCAAGCGUUAUCCGGAAUCAUUGGGUUUAAAGGGUCCGUAGGCGGAUUUAUAAGUCAGUGGUGAAAGUCUGCAGCUUAACUGUAGAACUGCCAUUGAAACUGUAGAGCUUGAAUUAAUAUGAAGUGGUUAGAAUAUGUAGUGUAGCGGUGAAAUGCAUAGAUAUUACAUAGAAUACCGAUUGCGAAGGCAGAUCACUAAGAAUACACUGACGCUGAGGGACGAAAGCGUAGGUAGCGAACAGG